GCUGCCGUGGCCGAACACAUCAGGCAUCCACCUUCUAAGUGGACCAAUGCGGGUGGAACUCCUGCCGGCAGCACCA
rnacentral:tRNA from 1 species